rnacentral:rRNA from 1 species
AGUGAACGCUGGCGGUAGGCCUAACACAUGCAAGUCGAACGGCAGCACAGUAAGAGCUUGCUCUUACGGGUGGCGAGUGGCGGACGGGUGAGGAAUACAUCGGAAUCUACUUUUUCGUGGGGGAUAACGUAGGGAAACUUACGCUAAUACCGCAUACGACCUACGGGUGAAGGCAGGGGAUCUUCGGACCUUGCGCGAUUGAAUGAGCCGAUGUCGGAUUAGCUAGUUGGCGGGGUAAAGGCCCACCAAGGCGACGAUCCGUAGCUGGUCUGAGAGGAUGAUCAGCCACACCGGAACUGAGACACGGUCCAGACUCCUACGGGAGGCAGCAGUGGGGAAUAUUGGACAAUGGGCGCAAGCCUGAUCCAGCCAUACCGCGUGGGUGAAGAAGGCCUUCGGGUUGUAAAGCCCUUUUGUUGGGAAAGAAAAGCAGCAGGUUAAUACCCCGCUGUUCUGACGGUACCCAAAGAAUAAGCACCGGCUAACUUCGUG